AACGAACGCUGGCGGCAUGCCUAACACAUGCAAGUCGAACGAACCCUUCGGGGUUAGUGGCGCACGGGUGCGUAACGCGUGGGAAUCUGCCCUUCGGUUCGGAAUAACAGUUAGAAAUGACUGCUAAUACCGGAUAAUGUCGCAAGACCAAAGAUUUAUCGCCGAAGGAUGAGCCCGCGUAGGAUUAGCUUGUUGGUGAGGUAAAAGCUCACCAAGGCGACGAUCCUUAGCUGGUCUGAGAGGAUGAUCAGCCACACUGGGACUGAGACACGGCCCAGACUCCUACGGGAGGCAGCAGUGGGGAAUAUUGGACAAUGGGCGAAAGCCUGAUCCAGCAAUGCCGCGUGAGUGAUGAAGGCCUUAGGGUCGUAAAGCUCUUUUACCCGGGAUGAUAAUGACAGUACCGGGAGAAUAAGCUCCGGCUAACUCCGUGCCAGCAGCCGCGGUAAUACGGAGGGAGCUAGCGUUGUUCGGAAUUACUGGGCGUAAAGCGUACGUAGGCGGCUAUUCAAGUCAGAGGUGAAAGCCCGGGGCUCAACCCCGGAACUGCCUUUGAAACUAGGUAGCUAGAAUCUUGGAGAGGUCAGUGGAAUUCCGAGUGUAGAGGUGAAAUUCGUAGAUAUUCGGAAGAACACCAGUGGCGAAGGCGACUGACUGGACAAGUAUUGACGCUGAGGUACGAAAGCGUGGGGAGCAAACAGG
rnacentral:rRNA from 1 species